GGCUCGCCUGUUCAGUUUACAGAUCUGAAACUCCAACAUUCAAUGUCUAACUUCCAAAAGAUCCCUAAAUAAAUGUUGGACAGAUCAGUUGGAGUAUCUCAAAUAUCACAAGCCAUCAUUUCAGAUAUGCUUUUUUGCCAUCCAUUUUCAAUUUUAUAAAGCAGGCAAAACUUAGAAGUCAAGUUGGUACAUGGAUUUUUCGUAACAUCGAAGAGUCAUUAUGUUUGAUCUAUAGCAAGAUCAUUUACGAGUCAAGGAAGUUAACAAUAAAACUGAGAUCAUUAAUCAACAACACAGAUCUUCCACAAAAAUAAAGGAAGUUCUCUAAAUUCAAGUCAAAAUAAGGAACGAAACGGAUAUCCAUAGUUCAUGAACCAUUUCAUUACACUUCAGUGAAACAAAGAAGCAUGAACUUCAUUAUUUGCACCCAAAAUUGCAUAACAUGAGCUGCACCAUUCCACGAAACAAGUAAUACUGAUAUAGCUUAAUAAAGAAGGUAUUCAAAAGAGAAUUGGAAGUAAGAGAACCCAGAAAAAGACCCAUGGUUAACUAUUCUUUUUGAAACUGGUAACUUUAAACCCAUGGUUAACUAUCAACUAGAUACUCCUUGGGGGAUAUUUUAUUUUCUUUAGCUGUAACUUGAACGAUGAAGCUCAAGCAUGAAAUUUUAAUUCAGCUAACGCUGGAGACCUGGCAUCAUGUCCAAUGACUGUUCUUAAUCACUACACAGAUCUCACGGGUUUUGGUUUCCAGAUGACCAAAGGGUUGAGUAUGAUUGAAUAAGAUUGUGAAUAUACAAGUGAUAGAAGCAAACAAAGCUGAUAACAUCUUUAGGCAUCAACAGAAGUAAUCAGAGGAACUGCAGAGGCAUAUUAUUUUAAGCAACCUUCUAUAUACACCUCACAUCCAAAUAACAUGUACUCAAAGAACAUUUUUUGAUAAUUAAGUACUCAAGAACAUUUAAGCAAGAAAAUGAAGAUCAUAUGGUGUAAAAUACGGAUUAUUUGAAUUCUAUAUUACAGUAAGCAAUGACAGUUGUGUGAUCAAAUAGCUGAAAAGCUAAAAUACAUUUGACUAAAAUUCAAAGAAGACAAUGUCAUCGAUGGGCAUUUGGUCUAGUGGUAUGAUUCUCGCUUUGGGUGCGAGAGGUCCCGAGUUCGAUUCUCGGAAUGCCCCUUAAUUUUAUAUAAGUUUUUACUUACUCUAAGAUGAUUUAACUUUUCAAAGGCUCAAACAAUGGAGAAUGCUUAUUUCACCUAGAAAAUUAUUGCAUACAAUGGUACAAGCUCCAGACAACCAAUAUCAACUUCAAAAUAUUAUUACCACUGAGGGACCAACAAGAGCUGGGCAUUUGGUCUAGUGGUAUGAUUCUCGCUUUGGGUGCGAGAGGUCCCGAGUUCGAUUCUCGGAAUGCCCCCAUCUAAUACAACUUUUUAAUUCAUUUUACUUGCAACUCUGCUCCUUCACUCUAUUUUCUAAGUGAUAGUACAUGCAAAUUAAGCAGGGUCAUUUAUGUAACUAGGAUUCAAAAGAAAAGAAUUCACACUUGGUCACAUGCUGACAAUUUAAUGCCACAAGGGAAUCAAUAAUCUGUACCAAAUGUUACCUAAUGCUCGACUUCAAGAGCUCUUCAUUGUUUCCAUUUUUGUAAGUUGAUCUCCAGUCAACUAUAAAACUCAAUCGACUUUCUUCAUAAAACAAAAAUCGCAUAUAAAGAUUAUAUUUAUUCAUGUUAAUGAACAACCAAAUGGCAUGAGCACUUGAAGCUGAAUAAGGUAAAUCUAGAUCUAUAAGCUAAAACUUAAUACAUCAUGAAUACUUGCAAUAGUGCAGAGUUGGGGGCUCGCCUGUUCAGUUUACAGAUCUGAAACUCCAACAUUCAAUAUCUAACUUCCAAAAGAUCCCUAAAUAAUUGUUGGACAGAUUAGUUGGAGUAUCUCAAAUAUCACAAGCCAUCAUUUCAGAUAUGCUUUUUUGCCAUCCAUUUUCAAUUUGAUAAAGCAGGCAAAACUUAUAAGUCAAUUUGGUACAUGGAUUUGUCGUAACAUCGAAGAAUCAUUAUGUUUGAUCUAUAACAAGAUCAUUUACGAGUCAAGGAAGUUAACAAUAAAACUGAGAUCAUUAAUCAACAACACGAAUCUUCCACAAAAAAAAUAAAGGAAGUUCUCUAAAUUCAAGUCGAAAUAAGGAACGGAACGGAUAUCCAUAGUUCAUGAACCAUUUUCAUUACACUUUAGUGAAACAAAGAAGCAUGAACUUCAUUAUUUGCACCCAAAAUCGCAUAACAUGAGCUGCACCAUUCCACGAAACAAGUAAUACUAAUAUAGCUUAUAAAGAAGGUAUUCAAAAGAGAACUGGAAGUAAGAGAACCCAGAAAAAGACCCAUGGUUAACUAUUCUUUUUGAAACUGGUAACUUUAAACCCAUGGUUAACUAUCAACUAGAUACUCCUUGGAGGAUAUUUUAUUUUCUUUAGCUGUAACUUGAACGAUGAAGCUCAAGCAUGAAAUUUUAAUUCAGGUAACACUGGAGACCUGGCCUCAUGUCCAAUGACUGUUCUUAAUCACUACACAGAUCUCACGGGUUUUGGUUUCCAGAUGACCAAAGGGUUGAGUAUGAUUGCAUAGGAUUGUGAAUAUACAAGUGAUAGAAGCAACCAAAGCUGAUAACAUCUUUAGGCAUCAACAGGAGUAAUCAGAGGAACUGCAGAGGCAUAUUAUUUUAAGCAACCUUCUAUAUAACCCUCACAUCCUAAUAAGCAAAGUACUCAAGAAAAUUUAAGCAAGCAAAUGAUGAUCAUAUGGUGUAAAAUAAGGAUUAUUUGAAUUCUAUAUUACAGUAAGCAAUGACAAUUGUGAUCAAAUAGCUUACAGAGGUAAAAUACAUUUGACUAAAAUUCAAAUAAGACAAUGUCAACAAUGGGCAUUUGGUCUAGUGGUAUGAUUCUCGCUUUGGGUGCGAGAGGUCCCAAGUUCGAUUCUCGGAAUGCCCCUUGGUUUUGCUAAAGUUUUAAUUUACUCUAAGUUAAUUUAACUCACCAACUCCUUCAUCACUAGCUGAUUCUACAGUUGAGUAUGUUAAGAUAUUUUCUACAACUAAAACACCUUUAAUUGUGAUGUUAUGUGUCUUUGUAUACACUAUUUUAACAUUGGAGGAGACCUUAGGCACAGGAGAAUUUCAUCCUCCUAGAAAAUUAUUUCAUAAAAUGGUAUAAGCUCAAGACAGCUGGAGAUGAAACUUCCAGCUAUCAUUUAGACUGGGGGACCAACAAAACAGGGCAUUUGGUCUAGUGGUAUGAUUCUCGCUUCGGGUGCGAGAGGUCCCGAGUUCGAUUCCCGGAAUGCCCCUUUAUUUUGCUUAAGUUUUUAUUUACUCUUAAGUUGAUUUGACUCUCCAAAUACUCCUUCAUCUGUAACUGACUCUACAUUCGCUGUAGGAGAAUACUUCCUCCUCUAUAGUUGAGUUUGUUCAGAUACAACCAACUUUAAUAAUGUCUACAAUAACAGCACCUUUAAUAGCAUAGUAUGCCCCUCUCUACAUAUAUUAUUUUAACAAUGGGAGGGAGGAAGAGGGAGGAUAUGUUCUACUAUGAACACUUAAAAUUUGGAUGAAAGAAAAUGACCUUUUCAGAUCUCUUAUGUAAGAAUGAAGAUCUUUAUAGUACUAAAACAAUGGGAGGGAGGAAGGGGGAGGAUAUGGUCUACUAUGAACACUUAAAAUUUGGAUGAAAGAAAAUGACCUUUUUAGAUCUCUUAUGUGAGAAUGAAGAUCUUUAUAGUACUAAAAACAAAUUUGUAAAAGAUCAUAACACCGAUUGAGCCCAGGAAGGAUCCCUCAGACACUGGAGAAUGCUCAUCCCUCCAAGAAAAUCAUUUCAAAAAAUGGCACAAGCUUACAAGAGACAUGAAACUUCCAGCUAUUAUUUAGAUUGAGGGACCAACAAACAGCAGGGCAUUUGGUCUAGUGGUAUGAUUCUCGCUUUGGGUGCGAGAGGUCCCGAGUUCGAUUCUCGGAAUGCCCCCAGCUAAAGUAACUCUUUUACUUCAUUUUACUUGUAUAUCUGCUCCUUCACUCUAUUUUCUAAUUGAUAUAUUAAAAUUAAGCAGGCCAUUUUACUUGUACAACUGCUCCUUCACUCUUUUUUCUAAUUGAUAUAUUAAAAUUAAGCAGGACACUGAUGGAUAACCUAGUGUGAUUGGCCAGAGAUCUUACAAGAAAAUACACAUCAAAGUCUGCAGUCUCAAAAUUAUCAUGCCAAUGCUAUAAUUUAUCCUCCACCUUGUUAACAAUGGAAACAAAAAAUUUCAACUAGCACACACUCUCAUCUUGGAUGACUUAGUGUUAAUCUUAUUGCAACAUUGUCUAUAAGGAACAUAAAUAACUGGGUAUUUGAUCUAGUUGUAUGAUUCAGGGAUUGCAAGAUUCUUAGUAUUUUGUUAAAAGAAAGCAUUCAGAUUGAUGUUCUGAAAAUUCCAGCAAGUUCAUCAGCCAUUUAUGUAAUUAAGAUUCAAAAAAUAGAAUUCACACUGGGUCACAUGCUGACAGUUUAAUGUGACAGGGGAAUCAAUAAAUUUUUUAGUUUAUUAUUAUAUCAAGAUGUAGGACCAUUUGUACAGUCAAGACCUAACUUUGCUUUGUCAAUGCUUAUGCCAGACCUUACCUAAUGCUUGACUUCAAGAGCUCUUUAUUGUUCCCAUUUUGGCAAGCUGAUCUCAAGUCUUCAUACAAAAAUAUUUGCAGGUAAAGAUUCUUUUAAUUCAUGUUAAUGGAUAACCAAAUGACAUGAAUCACUUGAAGCUGCAUAAGGUAAAUCUAGAUCUAUAACAUACAGAUCAAUCCAUCAUGACUACUUGAGUGCAGAGUUGGGCUUGCCUGUUCAGUUUACAAAAAAGCAGAUCUAAAACUCCAAGGUUCAGCAUCUUACACCCAAAAGAUCCCUAAAUAUGAAAUGUCGAACAGACAAGUUCAAGUAUCUCUUCUAUCAUAAGCCAUUAUUUCAGAUUUGCUUUUUUGCCAUCCAUUUUAAAUUUGACAAAGCAGGCAAGACUUAAAAGUGAAGUUAGUACAUGGAUUUGUUGUAACAUCAAAUAAUCAUUAUGUUUGAUCCAUAACACGGUCAUUUAGGAGUCAAGGAAGUUAACAGUAAAAACUGAAAUCAUUAAUCAAUGACAUAGAGAUGUUGUGCAAAACCAAGGCAGUAGCUCUCAAAAUUUCAAGUCAAUAUAAGAAAUAAAGCCGAUAUCCAUAGGUCAUGAGCCAUUUAUAUUGCACUUCAGUGAGAGAGAAAAAAAGCAGGAGCAUUAUUGUACCAAGUUGCUUUGCACCCAAAAAUUAUAUAUCAUGAAAAUUACUUAACAUGAUCUGCACUAUUCCAUGAAACAAGUAAUGAUGAUAUUAUAGUAAUAAAUAAGGCCCAAAAGAGAACUGGAAGUAAGAGAACCCAGCAAAAAGCCCAUGUUGAACUACAAAUGUGAUACUCCUUACUGGAGCUUUUAUUUGCUUCAGCUGCGACUUAACUCGAUCUAUGAAGCUCAAACAUGUAAUAUUACUCCAGCUAAUGCUAGACACCUGGCCUCAUGUCCAAUGGAAGUUCUUAAUUACUAGACAUAUCUCAUGGAUUUUGGAUUCCAGAUGACCAGAGGGUUUAAUAUGAUAGCAUAGGAUUGUAAAUAUACAAGUGACAGUACCAACCAAAGCUGAGAGCGUCUUAGGCAUCAAGUGCAGUGAGAAUCAGAGGAACUGCAGAGGCAUAUAUUCUAAGCAACAAGAACAUUUAAGCAAGAAAUGAAGAUCAUCUGGUGUAAAAUAUGGAGUCUUUGAAUUCUUGCAUUACAGAUGAGCAAUGACAUUUGGGAUCAAAUAACUCAAAGGGGGAAAAUACAUUUGCCUAGCUCAAAUAAGACAAUGCCAACAAUGGGCAUUUGGUCUAGUGGUAUGAUUCUCGCUUUGGGUGCGAGAGGUCCCGAGUUCGAUUCUCGGAAUGCCCCUUCAUUUAGAUAAAUUUUUUAAUUUACUGAAGCUUAAUUAACUCUCCAAGGGCUCAUUCAUCUCUUGCUGAUUCUACAGUUGAGUACGUUUAGAUAUUACAACCAGAUAUGGGAAACUUCCCCAUUUCUACAACUACUUCCAAUGUUAUGUCUCACUGUAUACAUUAUUUUUACAUUGGAGGAUCCCCUAGACACAGAAGAAUUCUCAUCCCUCCUAUAAAUCAUUUCAUAAGAUGGUACUCCAGACAACUGAAUAUGAAACUUCCAACUAUCAUUUAGAUUGGGGGACCAACAAAAGCAGGGCAUUUGGUCUAGUGGUAUGAUUCUCGCUUUGGGUGCGAGAGGUCCCGAGUUCGAUUCUCGGAAUGCCCCUUGAUUUUGUUAAAGUUUUAUUUACUCUAAAGUUGAUUUAACUCUCCAAAUGCUCCUUCAUCUGUAACUGACUCUGCAUUGCCAUAGGAGACAUUUUCCUCCUCUACAGUUGAGUUUGUUCACAUACAACCAGAAUACCAGAUACAACCUACUUCAAUAAUGUCUACAAUUUAAGCAACUUUAAUAGCAUAGUAUGCCUCUCUAUAGUCUAUAUACUUCAUUUUAACAAAGGGAGGGAGGGAGAGGGAAGAAAUGAUCUCCUAUGACUGCUUACACAUUGAAUAGAAGAAAAUAACCUUUUCAGAUCUCUCAAGUGUAAAAAUGAAGAUAACUAUAAAACUAAAAUCAAAUUCGUGAAGGACCAUAACACUGAUUGACACAAGGAAGGAUCCCCCGAGUCCCUAGAGACUAGAAAAUGCUUAUCCCUCCAAGAAAAUCAUUUCAAAAAAUGGUAUAGGGUCUGAAUAACUGACAUGGAACUUCUAAUUAUUUCUUAGACUGAGAGACCAACAAACAGCUGGGCAUUUGGUCUAGUAGUAUGAUUCUCGCUUUGGGUGCGAGAGGUCCCGAGUUCAAUUCUCGGAAUGCCCCAAAUUUUCAAGAGCCUUUUUUCAAGCCUGUACUCCUGAUAGUUAUAAAGGAUUUUUAGGCAAAUGUUGGAUAUCCAUUUAACACUUUGCUGAAUAUUCAAUAGUGAGAUUUGUGUUCCGGAAAUUGCAGUAAGCACAUUAUGCAUUUAUGAAUUCGGUAGGAUUCCAAUGAUUAAUGGUUAUUCAUCUUAGACAGUUAAAAUUAAUUAGUUUAGUAAUCCAAAAAGUUCUAGAACUGAUUCUUCUUUCUAGUGUAUUUUAGUAAACCACAUAUAUUGCUUGACUUGCAGCUCUUUCCAGUCUCCUGUUCAGUACAUAUUCUGAUGUAAGGUCAGCCAAGUCAAUCAGCCAAAAGUCAUGUUUUUUUCAGAUAACAACAUUUAGGCCAAGAUGCAUCCUUAUCAAAUAAAGAAAAUGGAAUGGCAAGAUUUGAUGCUCUGGAAGCUAAAUUUUCAGAACUACAAGAUAAAAAUAACAAAGCACGAGUGCUGGUAGUAUAUGGAUUUGUGCUAACCUCUCUAGUUUACAAGUAAGCCGAUCGGAACUCCAAAAUUCAACAUAGAACAACCAAGAAAUCCCUAUAUUCAAAAGCUUAGAUAGAUUAGCACAAGAAUUAUCUCACCUAUGAUAAGGAAAAUUUAAGGGUUUGCAAUUUUCCCUUCAGAAACAAAUCAAAUGUUUGCUUUCCAUCAAAGUUUGUUGAUAUUAGACAUACAGAUCAACAAUCAUAACAGAAUUAUUUAGCAGAACGGUGUUAUUUUUUAAAUUCAUUUGAUGAGGAGCAGAAAGGUGUUACUAAAAAUCAAACAGUACAUCAUUUGACAUUCUUUUUGGAAAAAAGCUCUCUGAUUUCCUACUCACAUUUGGAGUUAAAUUGGAUAAUGCUAGUGAUGAGUCAUUUUAUUUCAGUUUACUUGAGCAACGGCGCAUCAUUUCUACAGUCCAGACAUAAUUAUGCUUUGUCAAAGCUUACACUAAACUUCACCUAGUGUAUUGACUUCAAGAGCAGUUUGUUGUUUCCCUUAAGUUAGGUGUUUUGAUCACAAGUCAACUAAGACACUCAGCCAAAUGUCUUCAUACAACAAUAUUUCCAGGCAAAAUGCUUUCUAUCCACUCUCAUGGACAACCAAAUGACACGAGUCACCUAAAGCUGAAUAAGGUAAAUCUAGAUGUAUAAGCAAAUAAUUAAUAAAUACCUGCAAUAGUACAGAGUUGGGCUCGCACGUUCAGUUUACUAAUAAGAUCUGAAACUCCAAAAUUCAGAGUCAAACUUUCCGGGGAUACCUGAAUAUAAAAUGCUAAAACGGGUAAGUUCAAGUGUCUCAACUGUCAUCAGCCAUCAUUUCAGAUAUGCUUCCCAUUUUUGCCAUCUGAUUCCAAUUUGACUAAGCAGGCAAAACUUAAAGUUAAGUUAGUACCGGGUUUCCCUUUAUAUCAAAGAUUCAUAAAGUUUGGAUUAAAACAUCAAUUAGGGAUCAAGGGUGUUUUGCCUUAAUCACUGAUGAUCAACGGCUCAGAGGUCAUUCACAAAAUUGAGGCAAGAGUUCUCUAGACUUUCACGUCAAAAUGAGGAACUAAUGGGUAUCCAUAGUUCAAAUACCUAUUUUCAUUUCAAUUAAGAGAGCUAAAGAUGCAUGAACAUCAUUGUACCGUGUUCUUUUGUACCAAUUCACAUACCAUGAGCUACGCCGUUUCAUGAAAACAAGUGAAAAGAAUCUAAGAUAAGGAAGGUAUAGCUAAAAGAAAAUUGGUAAUAAAAGAACCCAACGAGAGAGCCCGUGUUUAACUACAAAUGUGAUAUUCAUAAUGUAGUGGAAGCUUUCUUACUUAAGCUGUGACCUACUCAAACUAUGUGUUCAAAUAUGCAAUACUGAUACAGCUAAUGACAAAAUCCUGGCCUCAUUCCAUUGACAGUUCCCAAUCACUAGACAGUUUCAAUGGCUUUUUUAUUCCAGAUGCUGAAAAGGUUGAGAAUGAUAGAAAAGGACUGUAAAGAGACGAGCUUCAGUAACAAUGAAAGCAGAUACAAUCUUUAGGCACGAGAGCAGCACAAAUCAGAGGAAGCUGCAAAGGCGUCAUAUUUUAAGCAACCCAUCUGAGUAUCUAACCAUCUCCCAUAUCCAAAUGGGAGCCAGCAAAAGUACCAAAUGAUGAUGUUAUCUUUAAAAAAAAAUGGGGGGGGGGGGGGGGGGGGGGAGAGGGGGGAAGCUACCAAAGAAUAUUAAAGUAAUCAGCUGGUAUGAAAAACGGAGCAUCUGAAGUCUAAGUUGAAGAUAAGCAAUAACAUUUACAAUCAAAUAACUCACAAGGUGAAAUUGCCUCAACAAAACAAUUUUUUAUUUCUGGAAAGAUCCCUUAAGGCUCAAAUGGGACAACUAGGGAUACUUCAUGCGAAUUGUAGGCUUGGAAAACCUAUUAUCGUAUCCUAAAACGAGCAUUUUUUUUCAAACAAUUAAAACAAAUCCUACACAAAGGUGUGCAAAGAAAUUUUCAUUAAGUCUCAUCACACAUGGCACAUGUUAGAUUAGAUGGGUCCCUUCCAACUCACAAUCAAGAAUAAUUGAAACGAAGUCGCAUAAAUCAAACCAAUACCAAGUAGUGAGCAAAGAGUAAACAAAUGACCAAGUGUUACAAAUAAGACCAUUUCUCUCAAUGUUAUCCACUUCUGCAGCAAAAAUUCAGGAGGGAUAUUCCAUAAAUUUGACAAAGACUCACAUGAAAGAGUCUAAAUAGUGGUUUUCAGAAAAACAAGUUAUACAAAGAGAACAAUCAAACAAAAACACAUUUUUAUUCCCUAUUAGCUACUAACUAUCCCUAAACACACCCGGUUCAAAAAAAUUACUUUUUCUGGAAAAGAACUGUGGCUUACAAAAACCAAAAGCUUUUUGAAACCAAGUACAAGGUAAACCUAGGGAAGUACAAAACAACAGUAAAUACUAAUAAACACAACUAGUGAUAUUAUACAUGCAGCAAGUACUCAUUCAAAGGAAAAAAAUGUCAAAACCUUAUAGACUAAGGGUGUGUUUGGUAUGAAGGAAAAUGUUUUCCAUGGAAAAUGUUUUCCUAGAAAAUGUUUUCUUGGAAAACAAGUAGAUUUUGGACUUAUUUUCUCAUGUUUGGUUGGUGGUGAGUAGAAAAUAUUUUUCGGAAAUGAUUUUGUGUUUGAUUUAUGAAUGAAAAAUAUUUUUGAGGAAUAUCUUUUAUUUUUACUAGAAUACAAAAUAAUUUAUGAAAUUGAAAAUAUUUUUUAAAAACAAUUUUUUUUGGUGGUGAUGAUAGGGGGUGGGGGUAGUAGGGGGGGGGGCAGAGGGAGGGGGUAGGAGUAAAAAAAAUAAAAAUUUGAAGUUGACAGUAUUUUAAAAAAAUAAAAUUAAUUUUUUGGGGGGUUGGGGGUGGGGGUGAGGGGGCUGAUAGGUGGGUAGGGGGGCUGGCCGGGAGAGGGGAGGUAGGAGCUUAAAAAUAAAAAAUUGGAGUUGAAAAUAUUUUUAAAAAGCAAAAUUAAUUUUUUGGGGAGGGGGAAAAAGCAAAAUUAAUUUUUUGGGGAGGGGGUGGUGUUGGGGGAGGGGGGCAAGGGGAGGGUAGUCAGAGAUCGGGUGAAAAAAUAAAAUUUUAAAAUUGAAAAUAUUUUUUAAAAAAAUUAAUGUUUGUUUUCCAAAAAAAAAUGUAAUUUGAAAUUGGAGGAGAGCUUUGGAAAAUGUUUUCCUUAAUUUUUGAAGGGAAUACAUUUUCCUUAAUUUUGAGGAAAAUAAGUUGAUUUGGAAAACAUUUUCCAAAACUUUUGCCCCAACCAAACAUAAGAAAAUUGGAAAACAUUUUCCAAAAAAUGUUUUCCUUCAUACCAAACACACUCUAAAGAUAAAACAUAGUAUUCUAAAAUAUUAUCUUAUUAAUCACUUGGAGAACUAGUGAUAAUUUAACAUAUCAGACUACGAAUCACAAGAAAAAUAAGAGACAAUCCAUUUUAAGGGUUCACGAUUCAGCCAUGGGAUGAAGAUCAAAGUUACUGCGAGGCAACAGGCUUCAUAUGUAGAUUUUGUUACCACAUGAAAGAAUCUAAACAUCUAAUUGAAAUGGUAAAAUCCAGGAAAAAAACAAGUACUUUUUAAUACAUUAAUUCUAGUAAGAUUGCAUUUUUAUUUCUUAAAAGGUUCACAUAUAUGAGAGCUCACAUGCUAAUUGUAACAGCCUGGUAAACCGUUGCCAUGAGGUAGGUGCAAACUCGGCCCAUUGGCCUCCUCACAAACAAUUCUCCACCCUGGACACCACCAACAGUGAAGAUGAACAUGUGACCUUGCUUUGAAGCUAAUUAAGAGAACCCAAGCACACAAUUCAAGAUGCUACAGGCAAUAAGUGAAGUAGUUUAAGAUUUUUUAAUAACCAUUUUGGAUGCUCUUAUGCCCCUGAUGUGGAAUGCCAUAUAUCUCUGGCACAAACCACGCUUUCUUCCUUCUAACAAGUGGUUAGGGAAAUAUUUGAUAUUAAUGUUAAUCAAACUUAGAAGUCCCCAUCAGAAAAUGAAUUCUACAUUUGCUAGUGGGAACUCUUAGUAAACACUACAAAACCCACUAGGAUAUUGCAAUGUGUCUACUUGAAUACAAAACCUAACAAGUAAAUAUGUAAUAUAAGCAAGAGCAGAUAACUAUUUUUUCAAUUCAAAAGUUGACAUAAAAAGUGAGAUACCUUGCAGAACCCCGACUUGUGAUGAAAAAACAAAACCAUUUAAUUUCACAAAUUUGCGAAGAGUAUGAACACAAAGAAAUGAACAGAAAUAUUUGGAAGCUAAAUCACAAUAUAAGCUACUCCCUCCAUCCCAUUUUUUUAAUAUUUUAAAAUUAGUGUGGUGUGUGGGCUAGUUGUCGCACACCUCAACUAAUUCCACGGGUACCUGCCAACUCCCAUCAGCAACAGGAACCACUAUUGACCUAAUUCCAAUUUACUCUUCUUAUAUUGGGAAUAUUUGAUAAAAUUCCACCAAUGAUACCAUUCUAUAAAACUUUCAACAACUUUAAGAAGUUCAAAUUGACCAAUCUAUCAAAUUCUAUCUUUUGAAUGAUUUUCAAUCAAAUUGAUUUCUUCAACUAGUACUUAGAUAUAUUUUUUCCUCUAGGAGGCAAGUCAAAUAAACACGUUAAACUCCAUAUCCUACAAUAUAAGUACUAGAAUACUACUUUCAACCCCGAAGAAUAAGAGUAGAAAGCAAAGCAAAAUACAGCGAAGUAACACUCAAACACGAACAAUUAGGUCACACUUCGAACUUGUAAACACAAAUUAACAAACAAUUUGGGCUGCAAUAGAGUAUGAAUUCGACAAUAACUUAUUGAAAAAUUAAGGAAGAUGAACAAACCUGAAGUGAAUAAUCACAACCCUAUGGGACCUCGGAGUCGGAGAAUGUUC
rnacentral:lncRNA from 1 species